AGCUAGUUGCUAGGCUAAUGGCCUACCAAGGCAACGAUGGUUACCGGGUCUGAGAGGAUGAUCCGCCACACUGGAACUGGAACUCGGACCAGACUCCUACGGGAGGCAGCAGUGAGGAAUAUUGCGCAAUGGGGGAAACCCUGACGCAGUGACGCCGCGUGGAUGAUGAAGGCCUUCGGGUCGUAAAAUCCUGUCAAGUGGAAAGAAGUGCAUGGUGGCUAAUACCUGCUGUGCUUGACGGUACCACUGAAGGAAGCACCGGCUAACUCCGUGCCAGCAGCCGCGGUAAUACGGAGGGUGCAAGCGUUGUUCGGAAUUACUGGGCGUAAAGCGCGCGUAGGCGGUUUUAUAAGUCAGAUGUGAAAGCCCAUGGCUCAACCAUGGACGUGCAUUUGAAACUGUGAGACUUGAGUAUUGGAGGGGCUGGUGGAAUUCCCGGUGUAGAGGUGAAAUUCGUAGAUAUCGGGAGGAAUACCAGUGGCGAAGGCGACCACCUGGCCAAAUACUGACGCUAAGGUGCGAAAGCGUGGGGAGCAAACAGGAUUAGAUAACCUGGUAGUCCACGCCGUAUAACGAUG
rnacentral:rRNA from 1 species